UACGGGAGGCAGCAGUGGGGAAUAUUGCACAAUGGGCGCAAGCCUGAUGCAGCCAUGCCGCGUGUAUGAAAAAGGCCUUCGGGUUGUAAAGUACUUUCAGUCGUGAGGAAGGUGUUAAGGUUAAUAACCUUAGCAAUUGACGUUAGCGACAGAAGAAGCACCGGCUAACUCCGUGCCAGCAGCCGCGGUAAUACGGAGGGUGCGAGCGUUAAUCGGAAUUACUGGGCGUAAAGGGCACGCAGGCGGUUAAUUAAGUUGGAUGUGAAAUCCCCGGGCUUAACCUGGGAAUGGCAUUCAAGACUGGUUAGCUAGAGUCUUGUAGAGGGGGUAGAAUUCCAUGUGUAGCGGUGAAAUGCGUAGAGAUGUGGAGGAAUACCGGUGGCGAAGGCGGCCCCUGGACAAAGACUGACGCUCAUGUGCGAAAGCGUGGGGAGCGAAAACAGGGAUUAGAUACC
rnacentral:rRNA from 1 species